rnacentral:sRNA from 2 species
CUGCAGGGUGCUUAGGGUUCCGCCUCACCGAGGGUCUGGUCCGAGAAGCGCCGCCGCGGUGGCAAAUUCCACCCGGUACACGGCGGGACAAAAUCCCGGGAGAC